ACGCUGGCGGCGUGCCUAAUACAUGCAAGUCGAACGAGAGCGACCGGUGCUUGCACUGGUCAAUCUAGUGGCGAACGGGUGAGUAACACGUGGGUAACCUGCCCAUCAGAGGGGGAUAACAUUCGGAAACGGAUGCUAAAACCGCAUAGGUUCUUGAGUCGCAUGACCCGAGAAGGAAAAGAGGCUUCGGCUUCUGCUGAUGGAUGGACCCGCGGUGCAUUAGCUAGUUGGUGAGGUAACGGCUCACCAAGGCCGUGAUGCAUAGCCGACCUGAGAGGGUGAUCGGCCACAUUGGGACUGAGACACGGCCCAAACUCCUACGGGAGGCAGCAGUAGGGAAUCUUCCGCAAUGGACGCAAGUCUGACGGAGCAACGCCGCGUGAGUGAAGAAGGAUUUCGGUUCGUAAAACUCUGUUGUUAGAGAAGAACAGCGCAUAGAGUAACUGUUAUGCGUGUGACGGUAUCUAACCAGAAAGCCACGGCUAACUACGUGCCAGCAGCCGCGGUAAUACGUAGGUGGCAAGCGUUGUCCGGAUUUAUUGGGCGUAAAGCGAGCGCAGGCGGUCAAUUAAGUCUGAUGUGAAAGCCCCCGGCUCAACCGGGGAGGGUCAUUGGAAACUGGUUGACUUGAGUGCAGAAGAGGAGAGUGGAAUUCCAUGUGUAGCGGUGAAAUGCGUAGAUAUAUGGAGGAACACCAGUGGCGAAGGCGACUCUCUGGUCUGUAACUGACGCUGAGGCUCGAAAGCGUGGGUAGCAAACAGGAUUAGAUACCCUGGUAGUCCACGCCGUAAACGAUGAGUGCUAAGUGUUGGAGGUUUCCGCCCUUCAGUGCUGCAGUUAACGCAUUAAGCACUCCGCCUGGGGAGUACGACCGCAAGGUUGAAACUCAAAGGAAUUGAC
rnacentral:rRNA from 1 species